GCCCCUAUCGUCUAGAGGCCAAGGAUAUGGCCCUUUCGAGGCCGUGACCCGGGUUCGAAUCCCGGUGGGGGCA
rnacentral:tRNA from 1 species